ensembl:lncRNA
UGUGUGUGUGUGUGUGAGUGAAUUUUUAGGGUUUUUGCUUGGGAACCUUCCUGAUGAGCAUUUCUCCCAUAUGAAUAUGGGGUCAGUGACAAAGGGUCUGGUGAUGCUGCUGCAGGAUCCAGAUCCUCUCGUGCGAGUGAAAGCCGCUGAAGCCAUGGGUCAUUUUCACUGAUGUUACCUCCACUCUGCAGCCAAUCAGAUUAGUCUUUGAUUUCAAGUUUGUUGCUUUGGAUAAGGAGGAAGCUUUGAAUUGUUGUUCUGUAAUAAGCCUCGAAAGGUUUUUAUUAUUGACCAAAGACUGUGCACUAGUUCUGUAAGAAAAGAGAAGAAUAAAAAGGAGAAGACAUUUAUUACACUUACGUUCAGCACUUUAAGUACUCUCAGAUAUACGGUUUGUGAUUCCUAGCCCGGGUUUUUCACCAGCGGCAGUUUUUAAUGUGAGGUACGUACCUGUUAAAAACUAGAAGGUUGUAGGCGAGUACACUGAUAUUGCUGAUAUUACUUGCUUGACCAUUCCUCUAGCGUGCUAAAUGCGUACCACCACUUUAAAGCAUUAAAUCAUUAAAAACGUAUGUAGGAUGAAUCAAUAUGUUUUAAACCAACAUCAACACUGCAAGGUUUUUCUGGUAAUAAAAUCAGAUGUACUGCUCAGUUAAGAGUUUAAUCCUGUAAAAAAGCAGACGGUUGAGUCACAUUGACCACCAUAAACCUUCAGCAAUAAAUCACCCUAAUAGGGAUGUGCAUUAGCAUAAGCUGCUAAGCCAUUAACUGCAACUGAAAUCUCCUGUACUGAAAUCCACAAUCAAAAAUGAUAUUUCAGCAAGCAUUUAUAGUGUUUUUGCUGUGACUUCUGUGGUUCUGACUGUAUCUCAUGCACUACAGUGGAACAAACUCAAUUGUGCUUCCUUCUCGACCAAGUCAUAAAAGUAGACAAAAACAGUGCCAAAACAUAGAUUUAUAAAAGAUCAAUUUUACUAGAGUAGAUGUUAAAAGAUUUCGGACAUGUUUCAUACUCAUUUUGUGAAGCUUCUAUGUAGCUGAAACACCAGUGCUGGCCUUUCUAUGGCACUUGUCUUGGAUGUUAAUUCACAAGUGUGGCCACUAUUAUUACAGAGUUUGAGCAUGAAUAGUAUUGAAUGAAUUCAAGUCAAUUCAUGAUGUUUCAUCUUAAUAAACUGGACAAAAGUGAUGAUGGAAAGGUAAAUCAACUACUUUUACAAAAUUAGUACCUGUACAGUGUCCUUUACGUAGUUGAACAUAUAUGUACAAAUAAAUCAGAGAAUUCUGUUUUUCUAUGAGAUACUAUGUAAACACAAAAUCGUAUAUUAAACAGUUGAUGUAGUGUAAAUGGCCUAACAAAGUCUUCAUUCUUUCAGCUUUUUAAUAUUUAAUGAAUCUUGGCAUUAAAGAAUUACGGAGCAAACCCUUUGUAAACUGCAUGGGAGUGACUCCCAGUGAGAAAUAGUGAAAUAUCAUUAUAUUUUGUCUUAGUAUAUACACUACCGUUCAAAGGUUUGGGGUCAUUGGGUCUUUUUUUUAUUAUUAUUAUUUUAAAAGAAAUUAACACUUUUAUUCAACAGCGAUGCAUUAAAUAUAUCACAACAGAAAAU